UACGGAGGGUGCAAGCGUUAUCCGGAUUCACUGGGUUUAAAGGGUGCGUAGGCGGGUAGGUAAGUCAGUGGUGAAAUCUUCGAGCUUAACUCGGAAACUGCCUUUGAUACUAUCUAUCUUGAAUAUUGUGGAGGUAAGCGGAAUAUGUCAUGUAGCGGUGAAAAUGCUUAGAUAUGACAUAGAACACCUAUUGCGAAGGCAGCUUACUACGCAUAUAUUGACGCUGAGGCACGAAAGCGUGUGGAUCAAAACAGG
rnacentral:rRNA from 1 species